GCCGCUCAAUUUAGCAUGAUAGCCGCAAAGCCAUGGCGAACAUCCUCGAUGCACUGCAAAAUCGUGGCAGCUGUAACAAAAUCCUCAAUAUGUUAUUAUACAAAAUUCGUAUGGCGCUAAGAGAUUUUAAGCAACAAUGAGACUCAUUCUUCUCUUGCUGAGUUGCUUUACAAUUGCACACGCGUACAAGAUACUGUGCGUUUUUCCAAUACCUAGCAGAAGCCAUAAUACGCUGGGUAAAGGAAUUGUGCGAGCUCUAUUAAAGGCUGGACAUGAGGUAACAUGGGUAACUCCGUUCGAAGUAGACAACGAACCCCAGAAAGGCUUGACAAUAGUUUAUGUUACUGAGGAGCAGAAACUUAUAGAGCGUAAGUCAU